rnacentral:rRNA from 1 species
UACGUAGGGUGCAAGCGUUGUCCGGAAUUAUUGGGCGUAAAGAGCUUGUAGGCGGUUUGUCGCGUCUGCUGUGAAAUUUCGGGGCUCAACCCCGAACUUGCAGUGGGUACGGGCAGACUAGAGUGUGGUAGGGGAGACGUGGAAUUCCUGGUGUAGCGGUGAAAUGCGCAGAUAUCAGGAGGAACACCGAUGGCGAAGGCAGGUCUCUGGGCCAUAACUGACGCUGAGAAGCGAAAGCAUGGGGAGCGAACAGG